UACGUAGGGCGCAAGCGUUGUCCGGAAUUAUUGGGCGUAAAGAGCUCGUAGGCGGCUUGUCGCGUCUGUUGUGAAAGCCCGGGGCUUAACCCCGGGUCUGCAGUGGAUACGGGCAGGCUAGAGGCAGGUAGGGGAGAACGGAAUUCCCGGUGUGAGCGGUGAAAUGACGCAGAUAUCGGGAGGAACACCGGUGGCGAAGGCGGUCUCUGGGCCUGUACUGACGCUGAGGAGCGAAAGCGUGGGGAGCGAACAGG
rnacentral:rRNA from 1 species